UACAGAGGUCUCAAGCGUUGUUCGGAUUCAUUGGGCGUAAAGGGUGCGUAGGCGGCGCGGUAAGUCGGAUGUGAAAUCUCGGAGCUUAACUUCGAAACUGCAUUCGAUACUGCCGUGCUUGAGGACUGGAGAGGAGACUGGAAUUUACGGUGUAGCGGUGAAAUGCGUAGAUAUCGUAAGGAAGACCAGUGGCGAAGGCGGGUCUCGUGGACAGUUCCUGACGCU
rnacentral:rRNA from 1 species